AAAGAAACGAUAGAGUAGAAUGCAUAGAAUCUUGUUUUAUUUGUAGACCAUCCAAAGAUUAAUACUAAAUCUGUAUAUUAAUACUACUACUAAUAAUAAUUAUUAUAACAAAUUAUUUAAUGUAUAUAAUAGAAUUAUAUACACUGUAAUUAAAUACAGAAAUAUAGCCCACUUAUUUUAAAUGUGCACAUUAGGCUGCUUAUGAAUUUAAUAUGACAAUCACACUCAUGGUCUCCAAAAGAUUACAUAUAAAAGGUGCAAGAUUUAUUGUUAGACUCUUUAAUGCACAUGAACUUCAACAAAUAAGGCCAUGGGUAAUUAGUGAUGCUUGCUAUGCAAAGCAUCACUAUUAUAAUUGCCCAUACUUAUUUUUCUACUUCCGGACACUUUUCAGCGGCUAGUCCCACACGGUUUGCGUCACCGUCACUAAACACUGGGAGAGGUGUGUUACUACUUUUCACUUCUCGCGCAUGUAACCAAAAACGCACGAUUUCGCCCCCUAGAGAAUGAAUGGGGAAUAAAACUCAAGGUGUCACGCUGACAUGCUCGUAUCACAUAUCCUUUUGUAAGUGUUAGGGAGCACACCUGGCAUAUACACACUGCGUUUCUGAAUGUGUGCCGGAAAUGUUCGGAACAUGCUGUUAUUCCGGGACCAUCGAAAAUAAAGGGAAAUUUUGGAGCUCGCCUAACUCCCACAGCAUCAGUGACACAGACAUGAAUGAAUGUUUGGCUUAGUCCAGACGAUCAGGAAAUUCCUUUGGGAAUGGAUCCCAUGUGGAUGUUGCAGGGAAUUACACACUAAUGUAAAAUGAGUCUAGAGAUCAAACAGCCGAACCGAGACACGGGCUGCGUCCGGAACCGCACACUUACCUACUGCACAGUAGGCGAAAAGCAGUACACCAGAGGGGUAGUAUGUCCGAAUUCUCAGUAGGCGAGAAAUACCCGGAUGGUGUACUGCUUCCGGCUAGAUUUUGUAGUAUGCAACUGAUGACCUGCGUGAAGUUGACCCCCACCCAACGCAAAACGUCGGCAAAAUAGUCUGAAUCAUUUGUGCUCCGUUUGUGCCGAUGAAAGUUCCGUUUGAGCUGCUUCAGUUUUUUAAAUAUUAGAUAUUAAAUUAUAGGCGAUGACGUCACCAACCCCCACACGCUCCAAAUUCACCCCCAAAUAGUCUCAAUCGUUUGUGCUAAUAAGAGCUUCAUUUUUGCGACUGUCUUUCUUUUUUUUAACAAUACAGUUGAAGAAACAAAGUAACAUCCAAAUGGCAAAACAAAUCACAUUAAAUAGUCGUAUUCACUUAAUUGUUAACUAUCUACUGUUCGUUUUCAACUUUUAAGGGACACAGCGGAGCACAGGAUGUGUGAAAUGUAACACGAACUCCAAGACAUUCCUGUCACUCCACUUCUCAGGUCUUCAUACAUCUCCCAGACACAUGGAGACCUCCUGCAGUAGGCCACAUAAUGCCCAAGAGCAUCCUGGGUAAAGCCUCCUCUGAAAGCAAUGACUGCCCUUAGAGUAAAUCUCUCUCCUUGGAGCAUCAGAUUGGAGGGAAUUUCACAGGUGCUUCCCAGGGUGGCCAAAUUAGGCAGAUGGAUUGGCUCAGGAUCUCCAAAAUCCAUCAGCUUUGUUGCCUCUGAUGCCCUCCAUACAUGGAGUUGCAUUCUGCUCUCACACAGUUCUUUGGCUGUCUGCACAUGCAAGUUACCAGACAUCGCAUGCUUGGAACAGCCAGUGUGCAGGGAGUCAUUAGUGUUUUUAAUUAAACACUUGAGCACCAUUGGGCUGUUCAUUUCACACUGUCAAAUUUUAUGUGAAUGUGGCCAAGGCAUUCCUUACAGUUGCCUCUGAUUUCUAUGAAUUUCUCUGUGGCUGAUUGAUAGACCUUGGCUCUUUUAAAGGCUAAUGUGCAGGGGCUUUUCACUUCUUGCCAAAUGUGAUUAUUUAUCACAUGUGUCCAGAUGCCAGGCUUCAAAGUUGUGUAUUCCCUUUUUUGUGUUUUAGAGAACUUGUUUUUGUAUUGAACUGUUUCAGGCCUAAAUUCAAUCCAUUUUUGAAAUGGAACUUCAACAUCAAAAAGUCCAGCAGUCUUUUGGUCUGGGGGAAAAGGGACCCUGGCUCAAAAUCAGUGUCAUCAUUACUGCCACUUGUUUCAUGAUCACUUUCAUAAAUAAACCCUAAAGCAGUCCAGAUGUUGUGUCUGUUCAAUUUAACAAACGUAUAUAGAGCCUUUGCAGUGAGCUUGUUUUUUUUGCUGCUCACUAAGCUCUGUCCAGAUGCUCUGAUUAGGAGUAGCUAUGUUGUCAUUUUGGACUAUGGCCUCUUUUGAUGAACAGAGGACUGUGAAAAUGGACUCCCUGAUGAAUGCUGGUUUCUUGGGCAUCUACCCACUGAAAUAAUGUAUUUUAAUCAUGUACAUUAUGUAUGUAUAUUAAUCAUGUAUUACUGUAUUUGCCUGAAUACAAGGAAAAUGUAAUAUAGUAUUAAUAUAUUAGGUUAUUAUAUCUUAUAUUAGGACCAAUAUGGUAAUGUUGACCCCUAGAUGCAUAACCUAUUCAAAAAAAC
ensembl:lncRNA